GUGUCAGCAGCCGCGGUAAUACGUAGGGUGCAAGCGUUGUCCGGAAUUAUUGGGCGUAAAGAGCUCGUAGGCGGUCUGUCGCGUCUGCUGUGAAAACUCAGGGCUUAACCCUGAGCUUGCAGUGGGUACGGGCAGACUAGAGUGCGGUAGGGGAGACUGGAAUUCCUGGUGUAGCGGUGAAAUGCGCAGAUAUCAGGAGGAACACCGGUGGCGAAGGCGGGUCUCUGGGCCGUAACUGACGCUGAGGAGCGAAAGCAUGGGGAGCGAACAGGAUUAGAAACCCCCGUAGUCC
rnacentral:rRNA from 1 species